rnacentral:lncRNA from 1 species
AAAAAAAACGACAGCUGAUUGAACUGUUGUUACAGGCAAAGAGUUUCAGGGUAUGACGUCUUAACAUGGAGAACAAUUUCCGCUUCUGAGCCGUCACCUGCACUGGAAUUAUGGGAAAUUUCUGCAGUUGUAACAGUCACAUGUCCACAUUCAUCAGUGAUAUUCAUACGUAUUUCAGAGUUCUGUGUAUCCUCACUGGCUACCAAAGCAUCUGGCUGGUACGGAUUAUGAACAGUAACAUCCACCUGUUGAGACUGGCCAGUCUGAAAUAAAAUAAAUAUUUUCUGUUAAGUUUUAAGAAUAGGUGUCAGUGAUUAAAAUCAACUGCCAGCUUUUUCAAA